CUUGCUCUCUGGGUGACGAGCGGCGGACGGGUGAGUAAUGUCUGGGAAACUGCCUGAUGGAGGGGGAUAACUACUGGAAACGGUAGCUAAUACCGCAUAACGUCGCAAGACCAAAGAGGGGGACCUUCGGGCCUCUUGCCAUCAGAUGUGCCCAGAUGGGAUUAGCUAGUAGGUGGGGUAAUGGCUCACCUAGGCGACGAUCCCUAGCUGGUCUGAGAGGAUGACCAGCCACACUGGAACUGAGACACGGUCCAGACUCCUACGGGAGGCAGCAGUGGGGAAUAUUGCACAAUGGGCGCAAGCCUGAUGCAGCCAUGCCGCGUGUAUGAAGAAGGCCUUCGGGUUGUAAAGUACUUUCAGCGAGGAGGAAGGCAUUGUGGUUAAUAACCACAGUGAUUGACGUUACUCGCAGAAGAAGCACCGGCUAACUCCGUGCCAGCAGCCGCGGUAAUACGGAGGGUGCAAGCGUUAAUCGGAAUUACUGGGCGUAAAGCGCACGCAGGCGGUCUGUCAAGUCGGAUGUGAAAUCCCCGGGCUCAACCUGGGAACUGCAUUCGAAACUGGC
rnacentral:rRNA from 1 species